rnacentral:rRNA from 1 species
ACGGGAGGCAGCAGUGGGGAAUAUUGCGCAAUGGGCGGAAGUCUGACGCAGCGACGCCGCGUGGGGGAUGACGGCCUUCGGGUUGUAAACCUCUUUCGACUCCGACGAAGCGAGAGUGACGGUAGGAGUAGAAGAAGCACCGGCCAACUACGUGCCAGCAGCCGCGGUAAUACGUAGGGUGCGAGCGUUGUCCGGAAUUAUUGGGCGUAAAGAGCUCGUAGGCGGUGUGUCACGUCGAUCGUGAAAACUUGGGGCUUAACCCUGAGCGUGCGGUCGAUACGGGCAUCACUUGAGUUCGGCAGGGGAGACUGGAAUUCCUGGUGUAGCGGUGAAAUGCGCAGAUAUCAGGAGGAACACCGGUGGCGAAGGCGGGUCUCUGGGCCGAUACUGACGCUGAGGAGCGAAAGCGUGGGGAGCGAACAGGAUUAGAUACCCUGGUAGUCCACGCCGUAAACGGUGGGCGCUAGGUGUGGGGGCCAUUCCACGGUCUCUGUGCCGCAGCUAACGCAUUAAGCGCCCCGCCUGGGGAGUACGGCCGCAAGGCUAAAACUCAAAGGAAUUGAC